rnacentral:piRNA from 1 species
UGAUAGAAAUUAUUGUGGGAAGC